CCGAUCCUCCCUUUUUUGUGAGUACUCCAUGGUCCAUGGCACGGGGGUGGAAAAGAAGGGAGAAUAUUUACUCAGGAAGUGGCCUCAUGUGAGUGAUGUGGAAAUGUCUAGUUGGCAUGAUAAAGGCACCAAUUAAGUUGCAGGUCCUGGAGACCCUCCAGCACCAGGCAUGAAACCUGCAGUGGUUGCACUUUGGGCCAGUCAUGUGGCCUAGGGGAGGAGGACACUCAGGGAUUGGGGGUGUGGCUCAUUAUCAAGGGGCAUAGACUUUUCAAAGAAUGGACAAGUAAUAGCUCAGGUCAGUGACUGUGGCUCAGUUUCCAUCUUGUGAUGAGUGACAGAGCAUGUCCCCACCUGGGGGAAUGAGGUGCUAAAACAGCCCCACAGAAACCAGUCCUGCAGUAUCACCAGGGAGCCUGCUUUCUUCUUUGGGGAAAGGGGGGAAGGGAUGUGUGUGUGUUGAGUGUGUGCCCCACGAGGGGGAGGGGCUUGCCCAACACUCUGUGUGCUUUGCCCUCAGCAAUGACCCAGAGCUGCGGGUGGAAUUCUACACUGGGACAAAUGAGGACUCAGACAUCGCCUUCCAUUUCUGAGUGCACUUUGGCCAUUGUCUGGCCAUUGACAGCCAUGUGUGUAGGGCCUGGAAGUGUGAGGGGAGAUGCCACAAUGUGCCCUUUUAGGAUGGCAAGCCAUUUGAUCUGAGCAUCUUGGUGCUGGACAAUGAAUACCAGGUAAUAAUAAAUAGCCAACACUGUUGCAGCUUUGUCCAUAACUCCCACCAUGUUCUGUGAAGAUGGUGCAAGUGUGGAGAGAUGUCUCCCUGACCUCAAUGUCUGUCUGCAGUUGAUGCAGAUGAUCACACUCCUCAUUGUUGAGGAAUCCCUCUUUCUAUGUGACCAUAGGAUUUCCAGAGCCUACUAACAGCAUGAUCUCUCCUCACUGUUUCUGCUACACUUGGUCAUUAAAACAUCACC
rnacentral:lncRNA from 1 species